GUUAGUAUUUGUUUAGAAUGCAUUAUCUCUAUAAAUAAUAAAAUAAAGCAUGGAUGGGGUUUUACUCCAGAAGUCCCUCUUUAACUUUAAUCUUAAAGCUGCAAGAGAGUAAAUCAGAUCAUUUCUGUGAAAUCACUAAUUAGAACCACUGGCAGACAAUUAGAGCUUGGACCCCCUGCAAGGUUCAGAAGACCAAUGAGAAUGGACAUUGUGUAAAUGUGUG